UCCGUGCUUCUUCUCCAAUGUGUCACUUUUUCUCUGAAGUCCUACAGCUGUGAAAAAUUUCCAUUUUUUUUGUUCUUUUUCUUAAGUAAACUUUCUUACUGGAGUAUAAUAAUACUGUGAAGAGCACAAAUCACAAGUUUUCUGUACAGUUGAUAAAUUUUUGUGUGCUGUUUUGUGGCUGGGGAUACUGAGGCAGCUCCUAUAUCUAUGUGCUAGAUGAAAUGAGGGAAGAUAAGGGGAGAGUAAAAAGAAUGUAGAAGAAAAAAGAUGGAGAAAAAAGGGAAGAAAAUGAUGAUAAGGAUUUGACUGAGUUGCCCAAGCUGGCUGGAACUUUGGAUCCUCCUGCAUCAGUCUCCCAGAGUGCUGGGAUUCCAGACAUCCACCACCGCACCCAGUGCCACCGCAGCUUAGUCACUUUCUCCUCACUGACACACAAUACCUGAUAUGCACAGGUAUUAAAGCAGGAGAGGUUUGUUGUGGCUCAGCUUCAGCAGUCUCAGUCCACACAAUCCUUGGGUGGUUCCAAGGGAAAAACAGUAUGCUUGAAGGACCUGGUGGAGGAAAGCUGCUCACAUCAUGGUGUUUGGGAAGCAGGGAGUGAAGGUAGGAGCUGGAGAGGGAGAUGCACUCUUCCGGGUCACAGCUCCAGUGAUCACCUCUAACAAGGCCCCAGCUCCUCACAGCAAGUCAGCUAUGAACUCAUCAGUGGACUGCUGAGAACAGCGCUCCCGUGACCAGUCAUCUCCUCAAUCCCUGAGGCCCUGGAGGAACACGCCAGACCUAAACCAUAAUGCCACACUUUCAGUAAGUGCAAAUGGGCCAAGCACAUAAAUAUCUUUCAUAUUGGAUCAAAAAUAAAUGAGCCCAACUAGGUGCUAUAGUAUACACCAAGAGACAUAGCAAACUUACGUGAAUUAUAAUUUUUUUUAAAGGAUAGAAGGUGAUACACAGGCAAAGGAAACCAAAAAGAGAACAUGACCACAGGGCUGCUGGGACACACAGAGCCUCUCUUGACUUGAGAAAUGAAGAGGAAGGCCAGCCAGGAGUGAGGGAAUGGUUCCCCCUUGGACCAAACAGGCCCAUAUCUGCUGAGAGGAAACUCCUGUGGUACCAGAACUGUCCUGGACAGGUAUCAAUGAUGGCAGCAGCAUUUCCUGACUUCUGUACACACUGUUCAUCCUUUGCAGUGUCAUGGUCACACACCUGUUGUCUGUAUGUGUGGCUCCACGUUGGUCCAUGUUUUCUUCACCAAUACCUCACUGUCUGGACCACUAUGGCUUUGGAAUAUAUCGUGUGCCCUGGGAGGUGGUUUCCCAUCUUGUUCUCAAGAUUGAUCUGUCCUUGUCCCUGUUACCUCCAAAGUCAAUUAUAGAAGUAAUUUAAGCUCCAUGAAAACUUCAGUGUAUACAUCAUUAAAAUGUACUUGAAAUUUUAUAUGAAGUGGAGAUAACUAGUAACCUUAUGACUUUUUAGUUAUUUGUAAUGAAUGUAUCAUAACUCUCCUUUCAUUUUGGUUUUUAAUAACUAUUAGUGAUGUUUUAUACAUUUAUUCCUAAUGAUAAUGCAUGGUUUUGUAUUUAAACUAAUGUAUCUCAUCAUCUGUUUCCUGUUUAAAUAAAUUUUAAAUCAAAAUUUCUUAGAACUGUAGAGAGAUAACAUAUUAGUCUAAUUAUUUUAUAUUCAUAGAUUUAUGGAAAUUUGUAUACUUAUAGUUUGGCUGUCUGUUUUAUUAGAUUUUAUAGGUAGGUUGUCAUCAAUAGCAAUUUUCACUUUUUUCUACAAUUUUCAACUUUUCUUUCAAUUAUCAUACAAUAAUUUAUCUUUUUAGUGGUUUGCUCAUUUAUGAAUUUUAAUGUUGAAGGACAUUUUCUAUUGUGUUCAAUUGAAAACAGAUGACCAAACUUUUCAAUGUUAUUGAUUUAAAACGUAUUUUAUGAUAGCCUAUAAAUACAAGAAAUAUUGGAUAAUAUAUUUUGAUCAAUCCAUUCCCCCUAACCCCCCUUGCACCCUCUCCCCAUCUUUCUCAUUCCCUUCCUGCUAUCUAGUAAUAAUCUCCUUCCUAUUUUCAGGUAAUAUUUUUAGAUUUCACAUGGUAGGGAGAAUAUGUGAUACUUCUGAGUCUGGCUUCUUUCACUUAACAAAAGCAAAACCAGAGCUGGGUUUGGUGGUGAACACCUGUAAUUAUAGUACUUUGGGAGCCUGGGUUAGGAUGAUUGAAAGUUCAAGUUCCACCUGGGCAACUUACAAAAGCUCUGUCUCAAAAUAUAAAAUAGAUAGGGGAUGUAGUUCAGUGGGAGAGUGCCCCUGGUUUCAUCCCCAGUACCACACAAAGAAACAAACAAAACAAAACAAACAAUGUAGUCAUGUAGAAUGAGGGUCCUGAGUGAGUUCGAUAGUCACAAGAAGAUUUAGGGUGGGGAUGAAGCCACACCAGGAAUGAGGUGAGGAUGAGGGCUUUGGUCAUGAGUUUUCAGUCUCUGAAGAGCUGGCGACUGGAAUCAGCCACCUAGAAUCACAUGGGGCAGUCAGUCAUGGAACCCAAUAAAGACUCUGGAUGCCA